rnacentral:rRNA from 1 species
GACGAACGCUGGCGGCGUGCUUAACACAUGCAAGUCGAACGGAAAGGCCCUGCUUUUGUGGGGUGCUCGAGUGGCGAACGGGUGAGUAACACGUGAGUAACCUGCCCUUGACUUUGGGAUAACUUCAGGAAACUGGGGCUAAUACCGGAUAGGAGCUCCUGCUGCAUGGUGGGGGUUGGAAAGUUUCGGCGGUUGGGGAUGGACUCGCGGCUUAUCAGCUUGUUGGUGGGGUAGUGGCUUACCAAGGCUUUGACGGGUAGCCGGCCUGAGAGGGUGACCGGCCACAUUGGGACUGAGAUACGGACCAGACUCCUACGGGAGGCAGCAGGGGGGAGUAUUGCACAAUGGGCGGAAGCCUGAUGCAGCAACGCCGCGUGCGGGAUGACGGCCUUCGGGUUGUAAACCGCUUUCGCCUGUGACGAAGCGUGAGUGACGGUAAUGGGUAAAGAAGCACCGGCUAACUACGUG